UACAGAGGGUGCAAGCGUUGUUCGGAAUUAUUGGGCGUAAAGCGCGCGUAGGCGGCCCUGUUAGUCCGCUGUAAAAGUCAAAGGCUCAACCUUUGAAUGCCGGUGGAUACUGCAGGGCUAGAGUCCGGAAGAGGCGAGUGGAAUUCCUGGUGUAGCGGUGGAAUGCGCAGAUAUCAGGAGGAACACCAACGGCGAAGGCAGGUCUCUGGGCCACUACUGACGCUGAGAAGCGAAAGCAUGGGGAGCGAACAGG
rnacentral:rRNA from 1 species